CUGAGUUGAAUAGCAAGAAAACGAACUUUGAAUUGGCUGAUCAGUGCACUAGCUGACAGCAACAAUUGUGCAACUUCAAUUUACUAAAGAUACUUUACCAGAUUCUGUGAGCAAUGACUUUCUGAACAUUAACAAAUUCAACGAGCAGCAAUUUACAAGUCUGACUGAGAUUGUUUUCAAUUUCCUGUUGGAGCCAAAAGAGACGACCAGGCUCUUGCAGCAGCUGAGUGAGUUUGCAGAGGAGAAUGGGAUGAGUGCAGGCCCUCUGAGAAACCGUAUGAAAAGUUUCAUGCUGCUUCCCUGUGCAACCUAAAAUGGACAAAGUACAUGUGGUAAGUUUAUUUUAACUCAAAACCAAGAUUGGAAGAAAAACAUUCUAGGUGCCCUGAAGAAAAAUCUGAAGGCAGACCAAGUCUAAGAGGACCUUCUGGCUUUAGGUAUGUUGUAAUAUAUAUGUAAUAAACCCCAUGUACACUAUCAAAGCUGCAAAUACUCCAGUCUCCACAGUCCAUAUUGGUACUGAGCUUUACAGUGUCAUUAAACAACUUUUAACCAUAACUUUUAAUUGAUAGGAUUCAAUGAUGCCAAGGCAGCCCAUUUUUCACAACAGAGUUGACCCUCCCCCGGUUUUACAACUACCUCCGUGAAAUGGAGAGGGCCAAAGCCAGUAUGGACUGCUUCAGCUGAGCUUUAGCACCAGUAACAUGAGAAUGUACUGAAUGUGUCCUUGAGGGACAGGAGGAAACAUGAAUGGAGUUGCCAGCGACAGUGGUUGACAUUGGGUCUGCCCGAAAUGGCAUACUGUUCCCAUUACAGGACAAUACUUUUGAACGGGGGCAAAGUAGUGCACUAUAUAGUGAAUAGAGUGCAAUUUGGGACGUACAAUGGGUUCAAAAUAGAACAUACAGAAUCUGAAGGAAACGUCCAGAUUCUCACAUACAAUUAAACGAUUUCAAUGUUUUGUCUUUUGAAAUGUGCACAGUUGUUUUUCGCAGUAGAGAUUUUGUGUGCGUGAGAAAGUCUUCCGCGGGUGUAUUUUGAAU